rfam:Myotis lucifugus cont2.17413, whole genome shotgun sequence.
GGCAAUUCUCGGAUGACACAGCCCGGAAUUGGGCUCGCUCCUCUCUGGUUCAGGGGUGCGUCACCCGAGAACCACU